rnacentral:lncRNA from 1 species
GGGGAGGGAUGAGAUCUCAUAAACAUGUUUAACCCCGCCGCAUUUUUGCGCCUGUCCCAAGUCAGGAGCCUCUGGCCUUUGUUAGUUUUGUAUUUUUUUAAUUUUAGUUUCUUGUGUACAAUUCGGAAAUUAGUAUGGCGUUCAUUAUCACUGAACUAGUAUAUAUUUGUUUAGGGGCCAGCUGAAGGACGCCUCCGGGUGAGGGAAUGUCUCGCUACAUUGAAGACCUGUUAGUGACCUUCUGCUGUUGUUUUUUCUAUGGUCGGGUUGUUGUCUCUUUGACACAUUCCCCAUUUCCA